UCCCAGGUAGCUCAGAUGGUAAAGAAUCUGUCUGCAAUGCAGGAGACCUAGGUUUGAUCCCUGGGUUGGGAA
rnacentral:tRNA from 1 species